AGUAGUUUCGAUCCUGGCUCAGGACGAACGCUGGCGGCGUGCUUAACACAUGCAAGUCGAACGGAAAGGCCCCUUCGGGGGUACUCGAGUGGCGAACGGGUGAGUAACACGUGGGUGAUCUGCCCUGAACUCUGGGAUAAGCCUGGGAAACUGGGUCUAAUACCGGAUAUGACCACUGAUCGCAUGGUUGGUGGUGGAAAGCUUUUGCGGUUUGGGAUGGGCCCGCGGCCUAUCAGCUUGUUGGUGGGGUAAUGGCCUACCAAGGCGACGACGGGUAGCCGACCUGAGAGGGUGAUCGGCCACACUGGGACUGAGACACGGCCCAGACUCCUACGGGAGGCAGCAGUGGGGAAUAUUGCACAAUGGGCGCAAGCCUGAUGCAGCGACGCCGCGUGAGGGAUGACGGCCUUCGGGUUGUAAACCUCUUUCGCCAGGGACGAAGCGCAAGUGACGGUACCUGGAGAAGAAGCACCGGCCAACUACGUG
rnacentral:rRNA from 1 species